rnacentral:rRNA from 1 species
GUGAGGAAUAUUGCGCAAUGGAGGCAACUCUGACGCAGCCAUGCCGCGUGCAGGAAGAAGGCGCUACGCGUUGUAAACUGCUUUUAACCGGGAAGAAACCCCAGGACGUGUCCUGGGUUGACGGUACCGGAGGAAUAAGCACCGGCUAACUUCGUGCCAGCAGCCGCGGUAAUACGAAGGGUGCAAGCGUUAUCCGGAUUCAUUGGGUUUAAAGGGUGCGUAGGCGGAGCGUUAAGUCAGUGGUGAAAUCCUGCAGCUUAACUGUAGACUUGCCAUUGAUGCUGGCGCUCUUGAGUGCGCUUGAAGUGGGCGGAAUGUGCCGUGUAGCGGUGAAAUGCUUAGAUAUGGCACAGAACACCAAUUGCGAAGGCAGCUCACUAAGGCGAUACUGACGCUGAGGCACGAAAGCGUGGGGAUCGAACAGGAUUAGAAACCCUUGUAGUCC